GAUGAAGAACGUAGCGAAUUGCGAUAUGUAAUGUGAAUUGCAGAAUUCAGUGAAUCAUCGAAUCUUUGAACGCACAUUGCGCCCGCCAGUAUUCUGGCGGGCAUGCCUGUUCGAGCGUCAUUACAACCCUCAGGCCCCCGGGCCUGGCGUUGGGGAUCGGCGGAAGCCCCCUGCGGGCACAACGCCGUCCCCCAAAUACAGUGGCGGUCCCGCCGCAGCUUCCAUUGCGUAGUAGCUAACACCUCGCAACUGGAGAGCGGCGCGGCCACGCCGUAAAACACCCAACUUCUGAAUGUUGACCUCGAAUCAGGUAGGAAUACCCGCUGAACUUAAGCAUAUCAAUAAGCGGAGGA
rnacentral:misc_RNA from 1 species